rnacentral:rRNA from 1 species
GGCGAACGGGUGAGUACAACAUCGGAACGUAUCCUGAAGUGGGGGAUAGCCCGGCGAAAGCCGGAUUAAUACCGCAUGAUCUCUUAGGAGCAAAGCGGGGGAGCCGUAAGGUCCUCGCGCUAUUGGAGCGGCCGAUGCCGGAUUAGCUUGUUGGUGGGGUAAAGGCCUACCAAGGCAACGAUCCGUAGCUGGUCUGAGAGGAUGAUCAGCCACACUGGAACUGAGACACGGUCCAGACUCCUACGGGAGGCAGCAGUGGGGAAUUUUGGACAAUGGGGGCAACCCUGAUCCAGCCAUGCCGCGUGCGGGAAGAAGGCCUUCGGGUUGUAAACCGCUUUCAUACGGGACGAAAUGGUGCAGGUUAAUACCCUGUAUUGAUGACGGUACCGUAAGAAGAAGCACCGGCUAACUACGUGCCAGCAGCCGCGGUAAUACGUAGGGUGCGAGCGUUAAUCGGAAUUACUGGGCGUAAAGCGUGCGCAGGCGGCUCUUUAAGACAGGUGUGAAAUCCCCGGGCUUAACCUGGGAAUUGCGCUUGUGACUGGGGAGCUCGAGUGCGGCA